AACCAUCACAGUUACAUGCCCCCAGAGCUGUCACGUAUGAAGACAGCAUUCCUAUGCUGUGCUGAUUUAUAAUGAAGCUCGGUAGCUGUGCCUUGCACAUGUCUACACAAAGCUUUUUCUAAAAGAAUCGUCUGAGGAAACAAAGAGGAAAAUGAUUAGAAAAUAGAGAAGCAGAAGGGGAGAAGUGUCUGAUUCACUCUCCUGCCCUCAGAGAAGAGAGCACCUUACCAUUCACUGACUGGGCAUCAGAGCAACGGCAGGACUAGUCAGUCCGUUUUUUACUCGUUUGGGGGCAUGAAGGAGUGCACAGUCAUUCUGAGGACAGGUAAGAGAAAGCAGGUCACAUUUCAAUAGCAAACGCACACACAGUUUCUCUAGCCUUCAAUGCCAAAGCUGUGGAUGGACGUAACGUCACUUUCUUGUGAAGGCACAAGGAAAAAGCAUCCAGGCUAGGGGAGUCACAUACCAGGCAAAGAAUGGAUGAAGGCCCAGACAUCAUCGACCGUCCAUAUAGAGGGCUCUGUCUGUGAAACUGGAAGCAAGUCACUGUUCUCAGGCAUUUUCCUAAUCCUCACAUCACGCAGCUCACGUUCUCUUUCCCGCUCACUCUGCCUGCGCAGACGAGUUGUCAUGGCAGUAGGCACAGAAUCCUCAUGAGAAGCCAAGUCUUCUUCUGCAGAUGGAUAAGUAAUUGGAAGCUGGAAAAUGCAGUAAAGUAAAAUACAGCAUUGCACUUUCCUUGCAUUUCUGAAAAGGACAUUGUACAUUGAAGCAAGCUUUCUACAGACCUGCCUAAGGAUAUGUUCUCUUGCUGUUCCUUCAGGGCCACUUGGACGACGACCCCGAUGCCCAAGACUUUGAUUAUCAGGCUUACGAUUCCAACGACUAAGUGCAAAUUUUUUAGAACAGCUAACAUUGUACCUAAGAAAUUCAAGAAAGAAAAA